AGUGAACGCUGGCGGUAGGCCUAACACAUGCAAGUCGAACGGCAGCACAGGAGAGCUUGCUCUCUGGGUGGCGAGUGGCGGACGGGUGAGGAAUACAUCGGAAUCUACUCUGUCGUGGGGGAUAACGUAGGGAAACUUACGCUAAUACCGCAUACGACCUACGGGUGAAAGCAGGGGACCUUCGGGCCUUGCGCGAUUGAAUGAGCCGAUGUCGGAUUAGCUAGUUGGCGGGGUAAAGGCCCACCAAGGCGACGAUCCGUAGCUGGUCUGAGAGGUUGAUCAGCCGCACUGGAACUGCGACACGCGCCAGGCUCCUACGGGGGGCAGCAGUGGUGAAUAUUGGACAAUGGGCGCAAGCCUGAUCCAGCCAUACCGCGUGGGUGAAGAAGGCCUGCGGGUUGUAAAGCCCUUUUGUUGGGAAAGAAAUCCAGCUGGCUAAUACCCGGUUGGGAUGACGGUACCCAAAGAAUAAGCACCGGCUAACUUCGUGCCAGCAGCCGCCGCCG
rnacentral:rRNA from 1 species